GAUGAACGCUAGCGGCAGGCCUAAUACAUGCAAGCUGAACGGUAAAUGUUGUAGCAAUACAAUAUGAGAGUAGCGUAAGGGUGCGUAACACGUAUGCAAUCUACCCGCAACAGGAGGAUAGCUCCCCGAAAGGGGAAUUAAUACUCCAUAAGAUCACGAGAAGGCAUCUGAUUGUGAUUAAACUCCAAGGGGUUGCGGAUGAGCAUGCGCAUGAUUAGUUAGUUAGCGGGGUAACGGCCCACCAAGACGAUGAUCAUUAGGGGAACUGAGGGGUUGCUCCCCCACACUGACACUGAGAUACGGGCCAGACUCCUACGGGAGGCAGCAGUAGGGAAUAUUGGUCAAUGGGUGAAAGCCUGAACCAGCCAUGCCGCGUGCAGGAAGAAAGCCUUCUGGGUUGUAAACUGCUUUUAUCUGGGGAUAAAAUACCCGUGCGCGGGGAAUUGAAGGUACCAGAUGAAUAAGCCACGGCUAACUACGUGCCAGCCGCCGCGGUAACAC
rnacentral:rRNA from 1 species